rnacentral:rRNA from 1 species
UAAGGAAUAUUGGUCAAUGGACGGAAGUCUGAACCAGCCAUGCCGCGUGCAGGAAGACGGCCCUACGGGUUGUAAACUGCUUUUGUACCGGAAUAAACCUAUUUAUGUAUAAGUAGCUGAAUGUACGGUAAGAAUAAGGAUCGGCUAACUCCGUGCCAGCAGCCGCGGUAAUACGGAGGAUCCAAGCGUUAUCCGGAUUUAUUGGGUUUAAAGGGUGCGUAGGCGGCUUUUUAAGUCAGGGGUGAAAGACGGUAGCUCAACUAUCGCAGUGCCCUUGAUACUGAAGAGCUUGAAUGUACUUGAGGUAGGCGGAAUGUGACAAGUAGCGGUGAAAUGCAUAGAUAUGUCACAGAACACCAAUUGCGAAGGCAGCUUACUAAAGUAUGAUUGACGCUGAGGCACGAAAGCGUGGGGAUCAAACA